UAUUAGCCCUGCUCGGUUGAAGUGAAGGAUAGCGUCGUACUGAGAGUAGCUGCCAUUUUAUGUCGAUUGUGAAUGAACAUGCGUGUUGUUAAUAAGAUAUUUUGCUGUGUUAUUUGUAUAAUGGGUUUUCUGUUAUGUAAUGUGUUACUUUUGUGAAAUGAUUGAACUAAAUGUUGACUUGAGAAUACAACACCGUAUCACUCUCGUGAUUAUUUCUCCCCUGUUUUCAGGGGCGUAACAUUUUUGGAGGCUCCGCUGAGAUUGCUGCUCAGAUGUCCAGUUUCCACACCCUGGUCGCUGAAUUCCGAGGCAGCUAAAUCUCCACAUAACAACUCAGGCAGGGCUGCAGUGAGGAAAGUGUUGCUGUUUGGGGGGGAAGUUGGAAGUUAGUGGUUAAGUACGUGUCAACUGAUGCCAUUGAUCGACCAUCAGAGACAGUAAGGACCAUCUAAUUCAGAGUCAACUCCUGCACAGUAAAAGUUCCUCCUGUUCUGUCAACAUGACAAGCGCCUUGGAAGAACUACAGGAAGAGGGGCGUAACAUCAACUCACGGUUUCUGGGUCUCAAAGCUCUUGAGGCGACCCAUCUCCCCAGUGUACACCUUAUUCAUGUUGAUGUCAGUUGGAACCACCAACUCGUACUGCCGGAUGCUAAAGAAGACGAAGAAACGGACAGGAAGUACAUCUGCUCCUGAAUCUCCAUACUAAAUAUCUCUAGUUGACAACUAGUCUGACCAGGAGAGCGAGAGGUGGUAGCCAACUAGCUAUUACCUGGUGUCAUCUCCUGUGGCCUCCACCCCAAAGUGCUCACACACAGCAGGCCAGAACUGCUCCUUCCAUGAUACAAAGUCUUCCUCAAGGCUGGGGAAGAGGGUAAGACAUACAUAGAACAGUCAUUGCAUUAUAUUUUAAUAAGAGAAAUACAUACAUAUUUAUGAAUAUGGAUUAAUUUAUGGACAUUGUGGCAAUGUUUGCAUUGUAUUGAGUUCAGUACUCACUUGCCAUCAUCGUCUCCCAUUCCCAGGUCAUAGAUCCUCUUGCCACCCAGCUCUUCUAGUCUCUUGUCAGUAUACUUUCCCAUUGCAUUAAAGUGCUCAUAUGUUUUAUUCCCCAAGCCAAACACCUGCAGAGUUCAAAGGCAGAUGCUAUCAGCUAUCACAGUAGAUAAAAGUUAAUGACCUGCAUAUAAAAAUUUAAAGAUUCCUCUACUUCUAGGGCCUAUAUCAUGAUGCAA